GAUGAACGCUGGCGGCGUGCUUAACACAUGCAAGUCGAACGGUAAAGCAGGAGCUUGCUCUUGUGGAUCAGUGGCGAACGGGUGAGUAACACGUGAGCAACCUGCCCCUGACUCUGGGAUAAGCGCUGGAAACGGCGUCUAAUACUGGAUAUGUGACGUGACCGCAUGGUCUGCAUCUGGAAAGAAUUUCGGUUGGGGAUGGGCUCGCGGCCUAUCAGCUUGUUGGUGAGGUAAUGGCUCACCAAGGCGUCGACGGGUAGCCGGCCUGAGAGGGUGACCGGCAACACUGGGACUGGGACACGGCCCAGACUCCUACGGGGGGCAGCAGUGGGGAAUAUUGCACAAUGGGCGGAAGCCUGAUGCAGCAACGCCGCGGGAGGGAUGACGGCCUUCGGGUUGUAAACCUCUUUUAGCAGGGAAGAAGCGAAAGUGACGGUACCUGCAGAAAAAGCACCGGCUAACUACGUGCCAGCCGCCGCCGUAA
rnacentral:rRNA from 1 species